rnacentral:tRNA from 1 species
GCCUCGUUGGCUUAGUGGUAUAGCGGCUGACUUGUAAUCAGCAGGUCGCGUGUUCAAAUCACGCACGGGGCU